rnacentral:rRNA from 1 species
UACGGAGGGUGCGAGCGUUGUCCGGAAUCACUGGGCGUAAAGGGCGCGUAGGCGGCCUGGUAAGUAGGGGGUGAAAUCCUGCGGCUUAACCGCAGGGCUGCCUUCUAAACUGUCAGGCUUGAGCACAGUAGAGGCAGGUGGAAUUCCCGGUGUAGCGGUGGAAUGCGUAGAGAUCGGGAAGAACAUCAGUGGCGAAGGCGGCCCGCUGGGCUGUUGCUGACGCUGAGGCGCGACAGCGUGGGGAGCAAACAGG